rnacentral:rRNA from 1 species
AGUGAACGCUGGCGGCGUGCCUAAUACAUGCAAGUCGAACGGAGUGGCGCACGGGUGAGUAAUGUAUAGCUAAUCUUCCCUACACUAGAGGCCAACAGUUGGAAACGGCUUCUAAUACUCUAUAGUGUAGGAUGAGGCUAUAUUGUAUCAGCUAGUUGGUGAGGUAAUGGCUCACCACGGCUAUGACGCAUAACUGGUCUGAGAGGAUGAUCAGUCACACGGGAACUGAGACACGGUCCAGACUGCUACGUGAGGGAGCAGUAGGUGAUAUUGCUGAAUGGGGGAAACGCUGACGCAGCAGAGGCGCGUGGAGGAGGCCAGCUGUCGGAGCGUAACCUCCUUUUGUGAGGGGAGGGGUACCUAACGAAUAAGCAACGGCUAACACCGUGCCAGCAGCCGCGGUAAUAC